rnacentral:piRNA from 1 species
UCGGAGAUCUUGCAGGAGCUGGGCAA